UGGUAUUUCAGUAGCUAGCUCACGUUGCAGAAUCAUAACUGGUCCUCUGGCCAGAAGAAUCCAGCUUCAGAUAACUCAUCAAUGAAGUAAUGGGUGAAGAUUCAGGGCAGGAAACAAUUUUCUCCCAUUCCUACAAGAUAAGGAAAUGAAACAGGAGAUGAUCUAGGAAAAAGCAAGAGGCUGAAUGUUGGCAGUGUAGAAAAUAAGACCACAUAAUAGUGAAGGGAGCAAGACCUACUGACAGUGAGUUCUUUCAGCCAGAAGACAAGAGAAAAGCAUCGGCAGAGGAAGAAGGGCAUUGAGUUCAGUCCCUCUGUAUAACAAUAAUCACUGAGAGGACAGCUAAAGCCCACU
rnacentral:lncRNA from 1 species